GACGAACCGUGCGAACGUUGUUCGGAAUCACUGGGCUUAAAGGGCGCGUAGGCGGGCUGUCAAGUCUGGGGUGAAAUGCCGCGGCUCAACCGUGGAACUGCCUUAGAUACUGACGGCCUCGAGGAAGGUAGGGGCAUGCGGAACUUUAGGUGGAGCGGUGAAAUGCGUUGAUAUCUAAAGGAACUCCGGUGGCGAAAGCGGCGUGCUGGACCUUUUCUGACGCUGAGGCGCGAAAGCUAGGGGAGCAAACGGG
rnacentral:rRNA from 1 species